rnacentral:rRNA from 1 species
GAGUAACACGUGGGUGAUCUGCCCUGCACUUUGGGAUAAGCCUGGGAAACUGGGUCUAAUACCGAAUACACCUCGUGGGUUGCAUGACCUGUGGGGGAAAGCUUUUGCGGUGUGGGAUGGGCCCGCGGCCUAUCAGCUGGUUGGUGAGGUUAUGGCUCACCAAGGCGACGACGGGUAGCCGGCCUGAGAGGGUGUCCGGCCACACUGGGACUGAGAUACGGCCCAGACUCCUACGGGAGGCAGCAGUGGGGAAUAUUGCACAAUGGGCGCAAGCCUGAUGCAGCGACGCCGCGUGAGGGAUGACGGCCUUCGGGUUGUAAACCUCUUUCGCCAGGGACGAAGCGCAAGUGACGGUACCUGGAGAAGAAGCACCGGCCAACUACGUGCCA